GGGGUCGUGGUGUAGCCUGGUCUAACACGCGAGAUUGUCAAUCUCGAGAUCGCGGGUUCAAAUCCCGUCGACCCCG
rnacentral:tRNA from 1 species